rnacentral:rRNA from 1 species
GACGGGUGAGUAACGCGUGGGAACGUGCCCUUCGGUACGGAAUAGCCCUGGGAAACUGGGAUUAAUACCGUAUACGACCUUCGGGUGAAAGAUUUAUCGCCGAAGGAUCGGCCCGCGUUAGAUUAGCUUGAUGGUGGGGUAAAGGCCUACCAUGGCGACGAUCUAUAGCUGUUCUGAGAGGAAGAUCAGCCACACUGGGACUGAGACACGGCCCAGACUCCUACGGGAGGCAGCAGUGGGGAAUAUUGGACAAUGGGGGCAACCCUGAUCCAGCCAUGCCGCGUG